CGGGGUGUAGCGCAGCUUGGUAGCGCAUCGGCAUGGGGUGCCGAGGGUCGCCGGUUCGAUUCCGGCCACCCCGACCA
rnacentral:tRNA from 1 species